AAUACAUUUGAAAUCAUUUGACUAUCGAUCUGUUGACUUGUUGAUGUCUCAGCCUAUUGACAUCUUUCCUGAAAGCUUGCUAAUCUCUAUUUUGAUCUGUAUUGGUAGAAGGUAACACCACUUUCUAUUUUGUUAAUUUAUUAGUUCAAUGGACCCCAUAUGGACCCAUCGUUAGUUUUAGAAUGCUUUGUUUGAAAUAUCUGAUGACCUCAGAGCAUGCUUUGAAUGUUGUUCCUAUGCAUCAUAGUGUUUUAGUUGGCUAGAAGUCGUUACUACUGAUCAUUUGGCUUUUGAUGUACCUAGUGGCCACUACCUUAUACUAUAUACAAUUGGGAUGCUUAGAAGCAUAUAACUUAUCAAUUGUAGGGAAGAAUUGGACAUACCAUUACGCAGCAUCAACGUCUGUGGAACCAGCAGCAUCGUCAUCGGUUAUGACUUCAUCUCUAAAAAGUUUCUUGGCAGCCUUCUUGGAAGGUGAUGUGCGAGACCUUUGUAAAUUUUGUUCCCAUGUCAUUCAUGUAAGAGCGAUGUCAUUAUAUGGGAAUAAUAGUGUAGGCAAUUUUCUUGGCAUGAAGCUAACCUUUUUCCGGUAACACUUUUGUCAGUCUUGUUUGUAGAUCCAUCUAGCACACUGUAAGCGUCAUCCUGCAAAUUUGCCAGUUCUAGAGGCAGCUGGAACAAUGCAGAGGGCAUAACAUGCAUGCUAAGGUAAAUGGAUGCAUAGAUGAAUCAUAUUUAGACAUUUUGUUGAGGAAAUGGAAGCUGCUUGUAAGCAUACACAGCAACGGAAAAAUGUUUUUUCAUGUUAACUCAGCAAGAGGACAAGAUACAAACACUGAGGAUAAGCAACUAAUAUUGAUGACUGUGACAUGGAGUUCAUACCAGGCGGAGAGUGUUGGCACCAGGGGUGCUGUGGGCUGCUGAUGGCGUC
rnacentral:lncRNA from 1 species